GACGAACGCUGGCGGCGCGCUUAACACAUGCAAGUCGAGCGAUGAAAUUUCGACAGAUCCCUUCGGGGUGAAGAUGAAAUGGAUUAGCGGCGGACGGGUGAGUAACACGUGAGUAACCUGCCUUAGACAUUGGGAUAGCCUCGGGAAACCGGGAUUAAUACCAAAUGAAAUCACAUAUGCACAUGCAUAAAUGAUCAAAGCUCCGGCGGUCUAAGAUGGACUCGCGUCCCAUUAGCUAGUUGGUGAGGUAACGGCCCACCAAGGCGACGAUGGGUAGCCGGCCUGAGAGGGUGAACGGCCACAUUGGAACUGAGAAACGGUCCAA
rnacentral:rRNA from 1 species